ACAUGCCUAUAACAUAGCGUUAAUGCACAGGAUCCCAUUAGAACUCCACAGUUAAGCACACUCAGGCUAGAGUAGUAAUGGGAUGGGUGAUCGCCUAGGAAGUCCUAGUGUUUUACAUGCC
rnacentral:rRNA from 1 species